rnacentral:lncRNA from 1 species
ACAGCUUUCACACUGUCACACACUCCAUCACUCGGUCAGGAGAGUAGAAGCGUGACAGCACAUCCUCUGCCACCCACAGACACAAACAAAGGCCUGACAGGUCUUCACUGCAGCACACACACGCGAGCACACACACGCACCCUCUCGAUUUGUCUCCCAGCCUUCUCUGGUACAGAUGUGCUAUAACUCACUCACACACGCUAACGUUCAGCGAGCAUUGUUUGUUACAGGGAUGGUCUCAGGCACACACACACACACACACAUACAUACGCAUACACACUGCCCUGUUUUUCCACUCUCGCGUGUUAUUGGCAUCACUCACUCUGUGCAAGGUCUUUCCAUCGCUCCUUUUCCUCUCCUCUAUCUCUCCCCCUCUACCUCUUCCUCUCUUCUAUUUGGAACGGUGGGAGAAAGGUUGGAAAUGUGCAUGGCAUGGAACAAAUUUCCGUUUACUGGUACUUUCUCUCUCUUUCUCUCUCUCUCUUUCCUUCUCGCUCGCUCUCUUUUUAUAUCUCUCUCUCUCUCUUUCCUUCUCUCUCUCUCUCUCUCUCUCUUUUUAUUUCUCUCCCUCUAACUUUUUAUGUAUUCAGGGAGAACUAUGCAUACAGACAAUAUGGUUUCAUUCCAUUUGAUAUGAACACACUUCACCAAGCUUUUACAAAGCAGAUAUGUUCUAUAUUGGCAGGUUUCAAUACCAGGCUGAUAUAAUGGGAGGUUUUAAUACCAGGCUGGUAUAUUGGCAGGUUUCAAUACCAGGCUGAUAUAUUGGGAGGUUUCAAUACCAGGCUGAUAUAUUGGGAGGUUUUAAUACCAGGCUGAUAUAAUGGGAGGUUUCAAUACCAGGCUGGUAUAAUGGGAGGUUUCAAUACCAGGCUGAUAUAUUGGCAGGUUUCAAUACCAGGCUGAUAUAUUGGGAGGUUUCAAUACCAGGCUGAUAUAUUGGGAGGUUUCAAUACCAGGCUGAUAUAUUGGCAGGUUUCAAUACCAGGCUGGUGUAAUGGGAGGUUUCAAUACCAGGCUGGUAUAUUGGGAGGUUUUAAUACCAGGCUGGUAUAUUUGGAGGUUUUAAUACCAGGCUGAUAUAAUGGGAGGUUUUAAUACCAGGCUGAU